rnacentral:rRNA from 1 species
GUAGGGGGCGAGCGUUGUCCGGAUUUAUUGGGCGUAAAGGGCUCGUAGGCGGCUUAACAAGUCGGCCGUGAAAACCCAGGGCUCAACCCUGGGACGCCGGUCGAUACUGUUAUGGCUAGGGUCCGGUAGAGGAGAAUGGAAUUCCCGGUGUAGCGGUGAAAUGCGCAGAUAUCGGGAGGAACACCAGUAGCGAAGGCGGUUCUCUGGGCCGGUACCGACGCUGAGGAGCGAAAGCGUGGGGAGCAAACAGGAUUAGAUACCCUGGUAGUCCACGCCGUAAACGGUGGGUACUAGGUGUGGCGUCUUUAUCAACGGAUGCCCGUGCCCGAAGCUAACGCAUUAAGUACCCCGCCUGGGGAGUACGGCCGCAAGGCUA